rnacentral:lncRNA from 1 species
CUGCAGACGGUUAUGGUAAUGAGCGGCUCUGUCUAGCGAGGAGCGUGUGAAACCCGUCAAUCCUGUUUGCCAUUUCCCCGUGGAUUUCCGAGGAGAGGUUCUGCAGGAUGCCCCCAGGCAAACGGAGAUGAGAAACAGAUGUCUUUGCAGGACCAAACAGUUAUUCUCCCUCGCCGCCCGCCCCCGCCCGUUUCCCUCCUGAGCUGCUGAUCCUCCGACUGUGAAAAACCAGACCUCUGGCUGCCUGGCUCCCUAGGAAUCAAGAAGACGCACAGACUGAAAAUCAAGGGAGGAAGGAACAAGAUCAAGGAUGAGGAUUAGCAUCUGCAAAUUGAACUCUAUCUAAUUUGCAUGUUUAUUUCUUAGAAUUGUAAUUAAAUUUGUGUAAUAAAUGUUUUCCAUUUCAUUUGUACACUUAAAACUUGGGUGACUGACAUGCAGUUAAGUGAAUUUCCUUUUUUUAAAAGCAAAUGUAGAUUAUUCAAUAAAGCAGCAAACCAAUAUUAAACAUAAUUAGAACUAAU